UGCGUAGGGGGCAAGCGUUGUCCGGAAUUAUUGGGCGUAAAGAGCUCGUAGGCGGUUUGUUGCGUCGGCUGUGAAAUCCCGAGGCUCAACCUCGGGUCUGCAGUCGAUACGAGCAAACUAGAGUGUUGCAGGGGAGACUGGAAUUCCUGGUGUAGCGGUGAAAUGCGCAGAUAUCAGGAGGAACACCGGUGGCGAAGGCGGGUCUCUGGGCAACAACUGACGCUGAGGAGCGAAAGCGUGGGGAGCGAACAGG
rnacentral:rRNA from 1 species